GAUGAACGCUAGCUACAGGCUUAACACAUGCAAGUCGAGGGGAAACGCCAUUGAAGCUUGCUUCGAUGGUCGUCGACCGGCGCACGGGUGAGUAACGCGUAUCCAACCUGCCUCUGACCAAGGGAUAACCCGUCGAAAGUCGGCCUAAUACCUUAUGCAGUCGUCGGAAGUCAUCUGAUGACGACGAAAGAUUUCAUCGGUGAGAGAUGGGGAUGCGUCUGAUUAGCUUGUUGGCGGGGUAACGGCCCACCAAGGCAACGAUCAGUAGGGGUUCUGAGAGGAAGGUCCCCCACAUUGGAACUGAGACACGGUCCAAACUCCUACGGGAGGCAGCAGUGAGGAAUAUUGGUCAAUGGGCGAGAGCCUGAACCAGCCAAGUAGCGUGCAGGAUGACGGCCCUAUGGGUUGUAAACUGCUUUUAUGCGGGGAUAAAGUGAGGGACGUGUCCUUCAUUGCAGGUACCGCAUGAAUAAGGACCGGCUAAUUCCGUG
rnacentral:rRNA from 1 species